UAUCACACCCAACUCGCUGGAGAUGCUGAGCCUCGCUGCCGACAGCUACUGAAGAGAGAGAGCAGUGGCGUCAAACGUGCGCCAGCUAUCAAGGUCCCCAAAGCCGAAAACGAACACCUGUCGGCUGCCAGGAGGCAAUGUACAACAUUCACCACAGUAUGUUGGAAAAGUGGAGUGCUGAGUGCCUUUCACCUUCUUCGACGGCAGAGUCUGUCACGGCAGCAAUGGCGAAGACCACACGUUUGAUAUGGUUGUCCACAGCAGCCAGACGGCGGGAUGUCCUGGUCGUCUUCUCGUUCAGCGAGGGUGAAACACCUUCUAAUUACCGUUGAUGUCUCUCAUCAGUCCAUCAUGUGCAAUCUACCUUGUCUCUUCUCACCUCUGGUACACCCCAAUGGUCUGGAGGGCGUGUAAACAACGA